rnacentral:rRNA from 1 species
CAGUCGCCGCGGUAAUACGAAGGGUGCAAGCGUUACUCGGAAUUACUGGGCGUAAAGCGUGUGUAGGUGGUUGUUUAAGUCUGUCGUGAAAGCCCUGGGCUCAACCUGGGAAUUGCGAUGGAUACUGGGCGACUAGAGUGCGGUAGAGGAUAGUGGAAUUUCCGGUGUAGCAGUGAAAUGCGUAGGGAUCGGAAGGAACAUCUGUGGCGAAGGCGACUAUCUGGGCCAACACUGACACUGAGACACGAAAGCGUGGGGAGCAAACAGGAUUAGAUACCCCGGUAGUCCCUGUCUCUUAUAC